rnacentral:lncRNA from 1 species
AUAAACAAUUCUCUAUUAGAGAUGGAUCCAAUGUUUGGCAUGCUAUUCAUGAUGGUGGGUUACAGAAUUUUUAAGGUGCUUCCAAGAGGUAGCCGUUAUAUUGGAGCGUCGAACCUUGACCAGAAGUUUGCUUCUAUAUAUCUAUGUUGCAAUUGUUUUACGAUCAAAAUUGAAAUCAGAAUAAAUUGAAAUAGAUAGUGAAAUAAUCAUAUUUUUCAAUGCAU